rnacentral:rRNA from 1 species
UGAACGCUGGCGGCGUGCUUAACACAUGCAAGUCGAACGAACCUUCGGGUUAGUGGCGGACGGGUGAGUAACGCGUGAGAAUCUGCCCUCAGGAGGGGGAUAACAGCUGGAAACGGCUGCUAAUACCCCAUAUGCCGCGAGGUGAAAUGAAUUUCGCCUGAGGAUGAGCUCGCGUCUGAUUAGCUAGUUGGUGUAGGUAAUGGCUCACCAAGGCAUCGAUCAGUAGCUGGUCUGAGAGGAUGAUCAGCCACACUGGGACUGAGACACGGCCCAGACUCCUACGGGAGGCAGCAGUGGGGAAUUUUCCGCAAUGGGCGAAAGGCUGACGGAGCAACGCCGCGUGAGGGAUGAAGGCCUCUGGGCUGUAAACCUCUUUUAUCAAGGAAGAAGAUC